rnacentral:rRNA from 1 species
CCUACGGGAGGCAGCAGUGAGGAAUAUUGGUCAAUGGACGGGAGUCUGAACCAGCCAAGUAGCGUGAAGGAUGACUGCCCUAUGGGUUGUAAACUUCUUUUAUAAAGGAAUAAAACGAGGCACGUGUGCCUGUUUGCAUGUACUUUAUGAAUAAGGAUCGGCUAACUCCGUGCCAGCAGCCGCGGUAAUACGGAGGAUCCGAGCGUUAUCCGGAUUUAUUGGGUUUAAAGGGAGCGUAGAUGGGUUGUUAAGUCAGUUGUGAAAGUUUGCGGCUCAACCGUAAAAUUGCAAUUGAUACUGGCAGUCUUGAGUACAGUUGAGGUAGGCGGAAUGCGUGGUGUAGCGGUGAAAUGCUUAGAUAUCACGAAGAACCCCGAUUGCGAAGGCAGCUUACUAAACUGUGACUGACACUGAGGCUCGAAAGUGUGGGUAUCAAACAGGAUUAGAUACCCUUGUAGUC